rnacentral:rRNA from 1 species
CCAAGGAGUCUAACAUGUGCGCGAGUCGGUGAGAUAAUAUUAAUAAGUGCGAGACUCACAGGCGCAAUGAAAGUGAAGGCGUUGCCUCUCACAUUUUUUUUUAACCAUAAAAAAGGUGUUGAUGGGAGUAGCGCUAAGGCAGGAUCUGUUGGUCCUUUUUUUUUUUAACGGGAGAAAGGAUCUCUGUCUCGCGGCCUUAAGCAAGUCGCGGGGCGGCAGCGCACUGCCAGCCCAUCGCGAUCGUUUAUCAAGUCGAUGCGGUGGAGCAUGAGCACACACGUUGGGACCCGAAAGAUGGUGAUCUAUGCUUGAGCAGGACGAAGCCAGAGGAAACUCUGGUGGAGGUCCGUAGCGAUUCUGACGUGCAAA